GUCCUGUGCAAUGUGAGCUCAUGAACCCCGUCAGAUCCGGAAGGAAGCAGCGGUAAGUGGAAGCUCUUAUGUGCCGUGAGGGUGCCUGGUUCGAGCUAACUACCUAAAUACCGUCCGGAGGAUCACUUUCGAAAAUAGGUGCACGA
rnacentral:SRP_RNA from 1 species